UACAGAGGGGGCAAGCGUUAUUCGGAAUUACUGGGCGUAAAGCGCACGUAGGCGGCUUUGUAAGUUAGAGGUGAAAGCCCGGGGCUCAACCCCGGAAUUGCCUUUAAGACUGCAUCGCUUGAAUCCGGGAGAGGUGAGUGGAAUUCCGAGUGUAGAGGUGAAAUUCGUAGAUAUUCGGAAGAACACCAGUGGCGAAGGCGGCUCACUGGACCGGGUAUUGACGCUGGAGGUGCGAAAGCGUGGGGAGCAAACAGG
rnacentral:rRNA from 1 species